rnacentral:rRNA from 1 species
GGGGAAUAUUGCACAAUGGGCGAAAGCCUGAUGCAGCAACGCCGCGUGGGGGAUGACGGCCUUCGGGUUGUAAACCUCUUUUAGUAGGGAAGAAGGGCUUCGGCUUGACGGUACCUGCAGAAAAAGCACCGGCUAACUACGUGCCAGCAGCCGCGGUAAUACGUAGGGUGCAAGCGUUGUCCGGAAUUAUUGGGCGUAAAGAGCUCGUAGGCGGUUUGUCGCGUCUGCUGUGAAAACCCGAGGCUCAACCUCGGGCCUGCAGUGGGUACGGGCAGACUAGAGUGCGGUAGGGGAGAAUGGAAUUCCUGGUGUAGCGGUGGAAUGCGCAGAUAUCAGGAGGAACACCGAUGGCGAAGGCAGUUCUCUGGGCCGUUACUGACGCUGAGGAGCGAAAGCGUGGGGAGCGAAC